AGAGUUUGAUCCUGGCUCAGAAUUAACGCUAGCGAUACACCUAACACAUGCAAGUUGAACGCAUAUAUUUUUAUAUGAGUAGCGAACGGGUGCGUAACACGUGAGAAUCUACCCAUAGCUUAUGGUUAAAUGCCGUAGAAUCUUAUAGAUUUAGAUAUAUAUCGGUUAUGGAUGAGCUUGCGGGGUAUUAGGUAGUUGGUGUGGUAAUGGCGCACCAAGCCCAAGAUGCCUAGCCGGUUUGAGAGAACGAUCGGCCACACUGGGACUGAGACACGGCCCAGACGCUUACGAGCGGCAGCAGUGGGGAAUAUUGGACAAUGGGCGAAAGCCUGAUCCAGUGAUAUCGCUUUGGGGAUGACGGCGACAUACGUUGUAAACCCAAUGAAGUACGUUUAGAUUAUGACCGUACGUAUUUUAGAAGUCCCGGCUAAUCUCGUGCCAGCAGCCGCGGUAAUACGAGAGGGGCAAGCGUUAUUCAAAAUGAUUGGGCGUAAAGCGCACGUAGGUGGUGAUAUGUAUCCAUAAUUAUUCAGGCUACAAGUCUUGUCGAUAUUUAUGAUGUAUAUGUAUUUCUUGAGGGUGUGAGAGGAGCAUGGAAUUUCCUAGGAAGCGGUAGAAUGUGUUGAUCUAGGAAGGAACACCAAUAGCGAAAGCAGUGCUCUGGCACAUUCCUGACAUUGAGUGCGAAAGCGUGGGGAUCAAAAGGGAUUAGAUACCUCUGUAGUCACGCUGUCAACGAUGACCAUUCCCUGUAUUUGAAAAAUCAAAGUGUAGGUUAGCUAACGCGGUAAAUGGUCCGCCUGAGGAGUACGGUCGCAAGACUAAAACUCAAAGGAAUAGACGGGGGCUCACACAAGUGGUGGAACAUGUGGUUUAAUUCGAUACUACGCGCAAAACCUUACCAGUUCUUGACAUGAUCCUUAUGGAUCACAGGUGUUGCAUGGCUGUCGUCAGCUCGUGUGGUGACAUGUUGGAUUAAUUUCCCGAACGAGCGAAACCCUGCUAUAUUGUAAUAACUUUAUGUAAUUCAAUAUAGACCGCCAGUGAUAGACUGGAGGCAGGAUAGGAUGACGUCAAGUCCUCAUGACCCUUAUGAACUGGGCUACACACGUGUUACAAUGGUGUAAACAAAACGUAGCAAUGAUGAAAAUCGGAGCCAAUCGCUAAAUUACACCUCAGUACGGAUUGGUGUCUGCAACUCGACUCCAUGAAGCCGGAAUCACUAGUAAUCGUGGAUCAGCAUGCCACGGUGAAUACGUACCUGAGCCUUGUACUCCCCGCCCGUCACACUCUGGGAGUAGUAUGUAGUGGAAGUAUCCUUGAUGUAUUUAUAUUUUACCUAUAUUUUGAAAAUACAGAAUUAAUGUAAGUAUAGGAAUAGGGUCCCAGACCGCAUAUCACAACUGGAGUGAAGUCGUAACUAAGGUAGCCGUA
rnacentral:rRNA from 1 species